rnacentral:rRNA from 1 species
UCGAGAAUCUUCCGCAAUGGACGAAAGUCUGACGGAGCGACGCCGCGUGAUUGAUGAAGCACUUCGGUGUGUAAAGAUCUUUUAUGAGGGAAGAAGUUUAUUGACGGUACCUCAUGAAUAAGGGGCUCCUAAUCUCGUGCCAGCAGGAGCGGUAAUACGAGAGCCCCGAGCGUUAUCCGGAAUUAUUGGGCGUAAAGGGUGCGUAGGCGGUUUUGUUAGUCGUUUGUUAAAUCUCUGAGCUUAACUCAGAAACCGCGAACGAAACGGCAGAACUUGAGAGUGUGAGGGGUAAAGGGAACUCAUGGUGUAGGAGUGAAAUCCGUUGAUAUCAUGGGGAACACCAAAAGCGAAGGCACUUUACUGGCACACAUCUGACGCUCAAGCACGAAAGCGUGGGUAGCGAAUGGG